rnacentral:sRNA from 2 species
GCAUAUACGCGACUGGAUACCCAUAUACCACUACAAUCUACGUUGACCCGAACCGAAUUGAAGGCCGGCCACGAAGUUCAUAUAAAUAAAAGCACGCGGAUCUCUGGCCAGAACUACAAAGCUGUCGACCUCAGCACACCUCACGCGCCAGGUCGCCGACGACCACAUCUACCACAAUGGCAACACAACCAACAAAUCCCACCAUAACUGACCCUCUCCUCUCCCUCCGCGGUGCUCUCUCCUUAUCUGUGUCAUCAUCUGGCCAACCAGUCCUCCUCACCUCCGCUACACCUACAGACACGACUACAGACCUUACAGUGGCUACACAUCUCUACCUCCCUGCCAUAUCACAAUGCAUCCCGCUCUCAACACCCACCCGCUUCAUCUCCGUCGCCGCGGGGAAUAUCCCCAUAGAUCUGCGCAGUAUAUACUUUGCCUGGCUGAAAAAGGAUGUGGCGAUUCCGGAGUAUAUUGCGAGUGCGCAGGCGGUUAAUGAAGGCAUUGAAGAGCGGCGGAAAAGGGACGGGAAGAAAGGGGAGGAGGUGGUGGACAAGGUGCUGAAUUUGGUAUUUGUGGAAAGGCUGGAUCUUAUUACGUGGUUGGAAGGCGCUUCAGAGGAU